rnacentral:rRNA from 1 species
AUUGAACGCUGGCGGAAUGCUUUACACAUGCAAGUCGAGCGGCAGCGCGGGGCAACCUGGCGGCGAGCGGCGAACGGGUGAGUAAUACAUCGGAACGUGCCCAGACGUGGGGGAUAACUACUCGAAAGAGUGGCUAAUACCGCAUACGAUCUAAGGAUGAAAGCGGGGGAUCGCAAGACCUCGCGCGUUUGGAGCGGCCGAUGGCAGAUUAGGGUAGUUGGUGAGGUAAAGGCUUACCAAGCCUAGCGAUCUGUAGCUGGUCUGAGAGGAUGAUCAGCCACACUGGGACUGAGACACGGCCCAGACUCCUACGGGUAGGCAGCAGUGGGGAAUUUUGGACAAUGGGCGAAAGCCUGAUCCAGCCAUUCCGCGUGCAGGAUGAAGGCCCUCGGGUUGUAAACUGCUUUUGUACGGAACGAAAAGGCUCUUGCUAAUACCAGGAGUCCAUGACGGUACCGUAAGAUAAGCACCGGCUAACUACGUGCCAGCAGCCG